AACAAGGACAACUCCCUUCAUCUGAGAAAUACAGACAUUUAGCGAUAUAAGUGCCACGCUCAAAGAAUCUGCGACAUGGAUAAAAUUCUAUCUCUGCAUCUUACAGGUAUUAAAAUCCAGUUCCCUGCGUGCAUGCUCCAGUUUAAGUGGAUGGCUGAUUCUAUCCCGUCAUCCUGAACUUUGUAGCUUCCUUUAAGAGAUGAUAAAUUAGGGAACAAAAGGAUCUUCCUUUCCGUGACAGCAGCACUUUCGGGAGGCUGAGCAUGUACCUCUGACUCAAGGCUGAGUUAUUAUAAGAAAAACAGAAAAGGAAGGAAGAAGGUUUUAAUUUCCCACUGUUGAAGACAGUUUGUCAGGAUGAGAGACAGACAGACAGAGCGUGCACAGACCUGCACUUCUCUUCGGGGAUGAAUAGGGCAAGUGUUUCAUUCAUGACGUCUUCAAAGCGUUGCCCGGAAUGCAAAAUGACAUGGUUUUUCUGGAAUACUAGUCUGUUUGAAAGGCCAAGGAAAGGUGAUACAUUUUGAAUGCACAUUUGGGUGACUUCAGGGUCUCCUUCUAUAACCAGAAUGGAGAUGUCCCUGAAAGGCUGUCAACAGAGAAAAAAAGAAUUCUGGUUAAAAUUCCAUUAUUCCAGUUUUUUUUUUGUUGUUGUUGUUUUUUUUUUUUGCCUGCGUUGUGUAAUUGAAGAUGUCUUCCAAGCAGAAACAGACCCUUGUUUCAUGUGGAAAAAAAAAUACAUAGACUAAUAGACUACAGAGAAAUAGAGGUAAAAAGAAGAUUGCUGCCACUUCCCAGUUAAGGAAUGCGUUGCUUUCACCCACCGUGGUCCCUGCUGCCUGUGACUCCAACACAAGAAUCAAUCCAUCUGUCUUUCUGCCACCACAGACAUCUCCCUAAAUUGAUCUAAUCUUGUGUCUAUUCUUAAAAUUCUUCGGAUUGCUUCUUGUUAAUAGAUAAUUGAAGUUCAGUAGUACAGUCUUUCCAUCUCCCUUUCCUUCCUGAUUGUCAAAUCACUUUGACCCAAUAAAUCUCACUUAAUUUUUUAAUUGUAUGGGAAUUUAAAAAUGGCACAUGUUUUAUCAUAUGCCUGGGCUGCUCUACCCAACUUUUCAAAGUUCUUUCCAUCCUUCAAAGUCUAGCUCAGCACCUACAUCUUCAAACGGUAAAACUUCUCUAAUUUUUUUGCAUGAAAUAAAUGUGCCUAUCCAAUCAGGAUGAGCCACUCAGAUGUGUGACUGAUGUCACACAGGGCUUCAAGCUCAGAAGAGCCCACCGGAUGAAUGGUUUAUUUCUCUGCUGUUGUCAUCUUGAAAUUUGAAGAAGGGGCCCAGCAUUUUCAUUUUGCACUGGACUCACAAACGAUAUAGCCAGUCCUGCCUCCAGUACUCCUAAAGUUAACAAUUUCAUAUCUCUGCUCCAAUAAUUCUCAUCCACAUUGUUGUUUUGAAGUUACCUUUGUAACUCCCACUAGAUUGGGAGCUCUAGGAAGCCACAGAUCUUAUUUGUUGAGUUUCUACAAGUGUGGGGAAGAGUAGUGUGCACAGAUUAAAGCUGCCAAUGGGAAGGUAAGAAUACUAUCAGAGUUCAUCAGAACAGAACUGAAAACAGCCAACAUCUCCUGAGAAUAGCAGUGCUAUGUUCUGAGUGUUUGUGUCCCCCCAAAAUUCAUGUGCUGAAAUCUAAUUCCCAACAUGUUGGUAUUAAGAGGUGGGGAAUUUGAGAGGUGAGUAGGUCAUGAGGGUGGAGCCCUCAUGGGUAGGAUUAGUGUUCUUAUGAAAGAGGCCUGACAGAGCAUAUGCCCUUUUACCACAUAGAAGGUGCCAUCUAUGAAGAACUAGCUCUCAGUAGACACCAAAUCUUCUGGCACCUUGAUCUUGGACUUCCCAGCCUCCAGAACUGUGAGCAAUAAGUUUCUGUUGUAUAUAAAUUACCCAGUCAAAGGUAUUUUGUUACAGCCGCCAGAAUGCAUUAAGACAAAUAGUAAAAAGAACAAAGAAGUUUUGCACACGUAGUAUGCACCAAGCACUGUGCUUUGCACUGCGCGAGAAAAUCCAACCUGGUUCUCACAACAUGAAGCAUAGGUACUAUAUUAUGGCUUCAGUUUCCAGAGGAAGAAACUAAGGCUUAGAGAGGGAAGGUGUCACACACUAAGCAGCAGUAGCAGGAGUCGCUGUCAGUUCUGGCUCCUAGGAAAUCAAUGAGUCUGUAUUCAUAAAUCAUAGAAAAUUGUGACAUUUUCAUGCAAUAAAAAACCUAAGAAUGUUCUUUAUAUAUAUACAUAUAUUUUUAUUAUACUUCGAGUUCUAGGGUACAUGUGCGCAACGUGCAGGUUUGUUACAUAUGUGUACAUAACAUUAGGUAUAUCUCCUAAUGCUAUCCCUUCCCCCUCCCCCCACCCCACAAC
rnacentral:lncRNA from 1 species